GUCAAAUCAUCAUGCCCCUUAUGACCUGGGCUACACACGUGCUACAAUGGAUGGUACAAAGGGCUGCGAGACCGCGAGGUUAAGCCAAUCCCAGAAAACCAUUCCCAGUUCGGAUUGCAGGCUGCAACCCGCCUGCAUGAAGUUGGAAUCGCUAGUAAUCGCGCAUCAGCAAUGGCGCGGUGAAUACGUUCCCGGACCUU
rnacentral:rRNA from 1 species